AUUGAACGAUGGCGGCAGGCCUAACACAUGCAAGUCGAGCGGAGCGGCGGACGGGUGGGUAAUGCCUGGGAAUCUGCCUGGUAGUGGGGGAUAACGUCCGGAACCGGGCGCUAAUACCGCAUACUAUCAGAUGAGCCUAGGUCGGAUUAGCUAGUUGGUGGGGUAAAGGCCUACCAAGGCGACGAUCCGUAACUGGUCUGAGAGGCUGAUCAGUCACACUGGAACGGAGACGCGGUCCAGGCCCGUACGGGAGCCAGCAGUGGGGGGUCUGCCGCAAGCGACGAGAGUCUGACGUAGCAACGCCGCGUGAGAGAUGACGGCCCUCGGGUUGGAAAGCGCGUUGAGCGGGACGACGGUACCGGAAUAGAAAGCCACGGAUAACUACGUGCCAGCAGCCGCGGUAAUAC
rnacentral:rRNA from 1 species